rnacentral:tRNA from 1 species
GGAAUGGUAGUUCAGUUGGUUAGAAUACCGGCCUGUCACGCCGGGGGUCGCGGGUUCGAGUCCCGUCCACUCCGCCA